rnacentral:rRNA from 1 species
UACGGGGGGGGCAAGCGUUGUUCGGAAUUACUGGGCGUAAAGGGCUCGUAGGUGGCCAACUAAGUCAGACGUGAAAUCCCUCGGCUUAACCGGGGAACUGCGUCUGAUACUGGAUGGCUCGAGUUUGGGAGAGGGAUGCGGAAUUCCAGGUGUAGCGGUGAAAUGCGUAGAUAUCAGGAGGAACACCGGUGGCGAAGGCGGGAUCCUGGGCCAGUACUGACGCUGAGGAGCGAAAGCGUGGGGAGCAAACAGG